rfam:Fluviicola taffensis DSM 16823, complete genome.
GCCGGUGUAGCUCAGGGGUAGAGCGCUUUCUUGGUAAGGAAGAGGUCACGAGUUCAAUUCUCGUCAUUGGCU